ACAAACAAAAAAGAAGAUGAAAAGACAAGCUGCAGACAAGAGAAAAAUAGUUGCCAAUAACCUAUCUGACAGUGAAUUUCAUCUGGAAUAUAUAAAGAAUUCUCAGAUCUCAAUAGCAGAAACAAACAACUCGAUAAGAAGAAACAACUCAAAAAGACACAGAGCCAGCAUGAAAUAUUAAGACAAUGAAAGCGAGAAGGACAAACCAGGAGGAAGUGAUGGAGGAGGAGGCUGCUGUCAAUAUUGGGGUCUGCACAAUGCGAAUAAGACAAGGCUUGUGACACUGAGAAAUUGCCCUCAUAAAUCCUCUCGUCUCCACUCCUCUUUCAGGUCCUCUCCUUUCAAAUAUCAAAUAUCAAAAUGCUCA